rnacentral:rRNA from 1 species
CUGGCUCAGGAUGAACGCUAGCUACAGGCUUAACACAUGCAAGUCGAGGGGCAGCAUGAGAUUAGCUUGCUAAUCUUGAUGGCGACCGGCGCACGGGUGAGUAACGCGUAUCCAACCUUCCCCUUAGUAGGGCAUAGCCCGGCGAAAGUCGGAUUAAUACCCUAUGUUCUUCGUAGAGGACAUCUGAAAUGAAGCAAAGAUUUAUCGCUAAGGGAUGGGGAUGCGUCUGAUUAGGUAGUCGGCGGGGUAACGGCCCACCGAGCCUGCGAUCAGUAGGGGUCUGAGAGGAAGGUCCCCCACAUUGGAACUGAGACACGGUCCAAACUCCUACGGGAGGCAGCAGUGAGGAAUAUUGGUCAAUGGGCGCGAGCCUGAACCAGCCAAGUAGCGUGCAAGGAUGACGGCCCUAUGGGUUGUAAACUGCUUUUAUGCGGGGAUAAAGUGCACCACGUGUGGUGUUUUGUAGGUACCGCAUGAAUAAGGACCGGCUAAUUCCGUGCCAGCCGCAGC